rnacentral:ncRNA from 1 species
GUUCAAAAAGGGAAAGGCUUGCGGUGGAUACCUAGGCACCCAGAGACGAGGAAGGGCGUAGCAAGCGACGAAAUGCUUCGGGGAGUUGAAAAUAAGCAUAGAUCCGGAGAUUCCCAAAUAGGUCAACCUUUUAAACUGCCUGCUGAAUCCAUGAGCAGGCAAG